GGCGACGUAGCCAAGUGGCCUAAGGCAGCGGUCUGCAAAACCGCCAUCACGGGUUCAAAUCCCGUCGUCGCCUCCA
rnacentral:tRNA from 2 species